rnacentral:rRNA from 1 species
UGAACCUCGGAUCAGGUAGGGAUACC